CAGGCCUAACACAUGCAAGUCGAACGCUAUCGCAAGAUAGAGUGGCGCACGGGUGAGUAACGCGUGGGAAUCUGCCCUUUUGUCUGGGACAACAGCUGGAAACGGCUGCUAAUACCGGAUACGCCCUUCGGGGGAAAGGUCCGCCGCAGAAGGAGGAGCCCGCGUCUGAUUAGCUUGUUGGUAGGGUAAUGGCCUACCAAGGCAACGAUCAGUAGCUGGUCUGAGAGGAUGAUCAGCCACACUGGGACUGAGACACGGCCCAGACUCCUACGGGAGGCAGCAGUGGGGAAUAUUGGACAAUGGGGGCAACCCUGAUCCAGCAAUGCCGCGUGUGUGAUGAAGGCCUUAGGGUUGUAAAGCACUUUCACUGGUGAAGAUGAUGACGGUAACCAGAGAAGAAGCCCCGGCUAACUUCGUGCCAGCAGCCGCGGUAAUACGAAGGGGGCGAGCGUUGUUCGGAAUUACUGGGCGUAAAGGGAGCGCAGGCGGUUCAUUCAGUUAGGCGUGAAAGCCCCGGGCUCAACCUGGGAACUGCGCUUAAUACUGAUGAACUAGAAAACAGGAGAGGGUAGUGGAAUUUCCAGUGUAGAGGUGAAAUUCGUAGAUAUUGGAAAGAACACCGGUGGCGAAAGCGGCUACCCGGCCUGAU
rnacentral:rRNA from 1 species